UCUUCGGCCAGGCUGGGCCGACGCA
rnacentral:miRNA from 1 species